GCUCAGCCAUCUACAGGACCUAAAACAGGCACCACCCAGCCCAAUGGACAGAUUCCCCAGGCUACACAUUCUGUCAGUGCUGUUCUCCAAGAGGCCCAGAGACAUGCUGAAACAUCGAAGGAUAAGAAGCCAGCCCUCGGGAACCACCACGACCCGGCAGUGCCCCGGGCCCCGCACGCCCCCAAGUCCAGCCUGCCCCCGCCCCCUCCGGUGCGGAGGUCCUCCGACACCAGCGGCAGUCCCGCCACGCCCCUCAAGGCCAAGGGCACAGGCGGCGGGGGCUUGCCCGCCCCACCCGACGACUUCCUGCCGCCGCCGCCACCGCCGCCGCCCCUCGAUGACCCUGAGCUCCCGCCGCCGCCCCCGGACUUCAUGGAGCCGCCCCCAGACUUCGUGCCCCCGCCCCCGCCGUCGUACGCAGGGAUCGCGGGCUCAGAGCUGCCCCCGCCGCCGCCGCCGCCGCCCGCGCCCGCGCCCGCCCCCGUCCCCGACUCCGCCAGGCCGCCCCCCGCGGUGGCCAAGAGGCCUCCUGUGCCCCCCAAGAGGCAAGAGAACCCAGGGCACCCCGGCGGAGCAGGAGGCGGGGAGCAAGAUUUCAUGUCAGACCUCAUGAAAGCUUUGCAAAAGAAGAGAGGCAACGUGUCCUAGGGACGGGCAUGAUGAGUGUUCCAGAGGGAGAAGCAUCGCUGACCCCGAGCGCAGGUUUUGCUAGCAGAUUGCCCUGACAUCUUGUUCAUUUCAGAUAAAAUGUGAUGGGAAACUUCUCACUGAUGUGCUCAAGUACAGGCAUAACCAUUAACCCAGUAGAGUUCAGAAUAUCUGCCCAAAUGUACAUAUCGUUCCCAUGUAUUUUAACCUAAAUGGAAUGUAUCUUCCCUUCCAAGCUGCCUAAAGCGCUGUUUUAGGUUCAUUUAUUUUAUUAUGUUCAGAAGCAUCAAAUAAAAGUUAAACGUUUUUC
rnacentral:lncRNA from 1 species